GUCCUUGUCUGCAGUAGGGCCCUAGGAAUUCUUCAGAGGCAGGUGAUCAAGGUCAGCUAAUGCCCCGGGUGUCCCACCUUUCCCACUGGUGGCUCCUGGGACAGUGUGACCUGUAAAAGUUGUCUGGUCCUCUUCAACACCAAAGGUCCAAGCCUUUCCUUUGGAUCCCUUUAGAAAUGAAAACAAGAUGACAUGAGGUGUUGUUUUACAGACUUUCACUCCAUCUGGUCCCCCAGGGUCUCAGGCCUGCUGGCCAGCAGGAUCCAAUGGCUCCUUUUUCAGGAACAGCUCAUUGUUUCUGUGUCCACAUGGGCCCUGGGCAUCCUAAGAAACAACUUGUCUUUUCUGAUUGACAUAUCUGGGCAUCCCUCCUAGUUAUUUCUAUAUUUUUCCUUCCUAUGACUCUGCUGAAGGCAUUUGACCCAAUCCUGGUGUGUAUUUCAUCUCCUUGGGAUGAGGCUGACUUUGUGAUCUGGGUAAGAAAGGGAGAGAGGGAGGGCAAGGAUCAGGAAAUGGGAGGAGCCGGAUGGCUCCACCUUCAUGAUUGUUUGCAGCCAGUCCCUUUCUCAGUCUUUCUGGAAUGUGGCUGUCUACAUUCCAUGCAUGACAGGGAACUUCCUGGUUGCCUGGCGAAAGAUUUGACAUCCCAGGCUUUGAAGUCAUUAGACCCGAGUUUGAAUCCCAGGUUCCUGACUCAAUUGGGCAUGUUACAUAACCUGUCUAAGCAUCAUCUGAAAACAGCGCUAAUAAUAGUCUAACUCCCAGAGGGUGGAGAUCAGUGAGACAAACAGUGUCGGGUGCCCAGCAUGCAAUCAAUGUUGGCUAUUGGGAGAACUCUUUUCCUUCCUUAGUCUCCUAAGUGAAAUGCAAACAGGUGAGCAUUUCUGACUUCCGGUUGGUGUGGUCAUGAUGGCCAAAGCCAUGGAAUGUGCCUGACCUGGCCUGGACCACUUAUUAUUAAUCAGAAGGCAAAUUGCUUAACCUCUAAAUACACAAGCAUUCUCCUCUGUAUCACAGGGAAGAAAAACCUCCUCUGUAGGAUUAUUGUGAAGGUCCAGUCAAAAUAUGUCCAAUCCACUUAAUGUAGGCCCAUGAUCCCUUAUACAAGAGCCAUCAGAUUUUGCAAGACGUUUUGUAUUCCAACAAAAUAACACCAUUUAUAAUGCUGUGUAUUUUGUAAUUCCUGAGCGAGGUGUGAGUCAGAACCCCACAGUCAAAGGCAUUAUUUCC
rnacentral:lncRNA from 1 species